CUCUCCGACUUCCUUUGUGAGUAUCACCCAGCCCCACCCCUGCCAACUCCCUGAUCCCUCCCUCACACCCUUUUUCCACUUCUCUUUCUCUGGUAGUAUGUGUAUCUUCUUUGGUCCUCAUUGAAUCUGCCCUUUCCUUUAGCCAUUUCUAUAACUGUCACUGGGGCCAAUGUUGCCGUUGCUAUGACAAUGGAACCCAUCUCCCUUAGACCUGAGAGCUGGAAGCUGGAAUUCAGACCAACAAAUGCUCCUGUGAUUCCUUUCUAAGAGAGAGAGACAGAGGGGUGCUGGUGAAGGGGAUGUUGGAAGAGAGACAGAGGAAGACGGAGCUCAUAAGAUAGACAGAUAGAAACAGAAACAUACAUGUAUUAAUAAUUUUUAUGUACAUCUCUGGAAAUAUUCAUAACUUAUGGUUAAGAGAGGAUGCCUUAGAAAUAAGGAGUGGCUUAUAUGUUGCCCUCAUUUUCUCUACUUAUUUCUGACUCUACUUCUCUCUUCUUUCAAACCUUCUGCUUCUUUCCUGUUAGGUUGGUGCAAAAUUAAUUGCGUUUUUUGCCAUUUUUUUUUUUUUAACCACAAUUACUUUUGCACCAACCUAAUACUUCCUCCCCUGCCCUUUUUGGCUUCCUUAUUCAUUCAUAGAACAUCCCCUCCAGUAUCUGCGAGAGCGUUUUGCUCCCUCAAGGUACAAGGCCCACUAAGGCUUUGCCCUCUGGGCCUAUUCCCAGAUUCUAUGUGAGUUAGCAUGAGAUAGUAUCAAAAUUGAGGGCCAAGUGAGGGUGAGGAAAAGCAGCAAAAGAUGGGGAGAUGUCUGAGCAGGAUUUAAAAAGUAAAGAGCUCUGAGGAAUCAACAAGAGCAGUGAUUGGGGCCAGGCAUGGUGGCUCACACCUGUAAUCCCAGCAUUUUCGGAGGCUGAGGUGGGUGGAUCACUUGAGGCCAGGAGUUCAAGACCAGCCUGGCCAAUAUGGUGAAACCCUGUCUUUACAAAAAAUACAAAAAUUAGCCAGAUGUGAUGGUGCACACCUGUAAUCCCAGCUACUCAGGAGGCUGAGGCACUAGAACUGCUUGAACCCAGGAGGCAGAGGUUGCAGUGAGCCAAGAUCAUGCCACUGCACUCCAGCCUGAGCAACAGAGAGAGUGUCUGUCUCAAAAAAUAAAGUAAAAUAAAAUAAAAUAAAGAGUAGUGAUUGGGCAGUGAGGGGGGCAGGUGGAUGCCCUGGCUUUGGCUCACAGGCCCCAAGUAAGGACUUCUCAAAACGUCUUUUGCCUACUGGCUGUCUAAUUUAUUCACUGACCUUCUGACCUGGUUCAGAAUUGACUUAGGACAGCAAGAAGAGACAGUCUAGUCUUUGACCUAGAAAGGCCCGUGAGCCUAGUCCAGGCCAUUGUCUUCUUAUAACCCUCCUUGUUCCCAGUCACGUUGGCUGACCCCCCAGGACACCCCUCAGGAACCAGUUCUCCUUCCCAGGGCCCUGACCUAGUUUCAAACUUAGUAAUUGUUUUUAGUCCCUCUGGAGUCUCUUAUAAAUGAGGACUCUACUUCGUGUUUUAACUUCCUCUAAUACUCUAUUUUUAAUCUCCUAUAUUCUCUCUACUAAUCAUCUUGUACAGUCUGUCCUGGUUCAGGAACAAGGGACUGAGACUUCCUGCCUGGGUCCUCAGUGUCUAUAAAGGUCCUUUACUCAUUCCCACUUUCCCUUUGAGAAAACUGAGACACAGAGAGGUUAAGUAGAUUGCCCAGGAUCACACAUUAGCUGGGCAUGAUGGCGGGCGCCUGUAAUCCCAGCUACUUGGGAGGCUGAGGCAGGAGAAUCGCUUGAACCUGGGAGGCAGAGGUUGCAGUGAGCCCAGAUCAUGCCACUGCACUCUAGCCUGGGCAAC
rnacentral:sRNA from 1 species